AUUGAACGCUGGCGGCAGGCCUAACACAUGCAAGUCGAACGAGUGGCGGACGGGUGAGUAAUGUCUGGGAAACUGCCUGAUGGAGGGGGUUAACUACUGGAAACGGUAGCUAAUACCGCAUACCAUCGGAUGUGCCCAUAUGGGAUUAGCUAGUAGGUGGGGUAACGGCUCACCUAGGCGACGAAACCUAGCUUGUCUGAGGGGAUGACCAGCACCACUGGAACUGAGACAAGGUCCAGACUACUACGGGAGGCAGAAGUGGGGAACAGUGCACGAUGGGCGCAAGCCUGACGCAGCCAUGCCGCGUGUAUGAAGAAGGCCUUCGGGUUGUAAAGUACUUUCAGCGGGGAGGAGGUACCAGAAGAAGAAGCACCGGCUAACUCCGUGCCAGCAGCCGCGGUAAUAC
rnacentral:rRNA from 1 species